GAUGAAGAACGUAGCGAAAUGCGAUAAGUAGUGUGAAUUGCAGAAUUCAGCGAAUCAUCGAAUCUUUGAACGCACAUUGCGGCCAUAGGUAUUCCUUUGGCCAUGCCUGUUCGAGCGUCAUUUACACCCUCAAGCCUAGCUUGGUGUUGGGCGUCUGUCCCGCCGUUCUCGCGCGCGGACUCGCCUCAAAGUCAUUGGCGGCGGUCGUGCCGGCCCCCUCGCGCAGCACAUUUGCGCUUCUCGGAGGCCCGGCGGAUCCGCGCUCCAGCAAGACCUUUCACGACUUGACCUCGGAUCAGGUAGGGAUACCCGCUGAACUUAAGCAUAUCAAUAAGCGGAGGA
rnacentral:misc_RNA from 1 species